rnacentral:snRNA from 1 species
GGGUUGCGGGUAAUUUCAGAUAC